rnacentral:rRNA from 1 species
CUACGGGUUGCACCAGUGGGGAAUAUUGGGCAAUGGGCGCAAGCCUGACCCAGCAACGCCGCGUGAGGGAAGAAGGUUUUCGGAUUGUAAACCUCUGUCCUUAGGGAAGAAGAGAGUGACGGUACCUAAGGAGGAAGCCCCGGCUAACUACGUGCCAGCAGCCGCGGUAAUACGUAGGGGGCAAGCGUUGUCCGGAAUGACUGGGCGUAAAGGGCGUGUAGGCGGCUGCUUAAGUCUGAUGUGAAAUACCCAUUUUUAAGGUGGGUCGUGCAUUGGAAACUGAGUAGCUUGAGUGCGGAAGAGGUAAGUGGAAUUCCCGGUGUAGCGGUGAAAUGCGUAGAGAUCGGGAGGAACACCAGUGGCGAAGGCGACUUACUGGGCCGCAACUGACGCUGAGGCGCGAAAGCGUGGGGAGCAAACAGGAUUAGAUACCCGCGUAGUC